rnacentral:rRNA from 1 species
UUCCGGUUGAUCCCGCCGGACCUGACUGCUAUCGGAUUGAUACUAAGCCAUGCGAGUCUUUGCAGUAAUGCAAGGCAUACGGCUCAGUAACACGUAGUCAACUUACCCUAUGGACGAGGAUAAUCUCGGGAAACUGAGCAUAAUACUCGAUAGAUCAUAAUGCCUGGAAUGGUUUAUGGUUAAAAUGAUUCGUCGCCAUAGGAUGGGACUGCGGCCUAUCAGCUUGUUGGUGAGGUAAUGGCCCACCAAGGCGAUUACAGGUACGGGCUCUGAGAGGAGAAGCCCGGAGAUGGGUACUGAGACAAGGACCCAGGCCCUAUGGGGCGCAGCAGGCGAGAAAACUUUGCAAUGUGCGAAAGCACGACAAGGUUAGUCCGAGUGAUUUCUGCUAAAGAGAUCUUUUGCUAGUUAUAAAACCACUAGUGAAUAAGGGGUGGGCAAGUUCUGGUGUCAGCCGCCGCGGUAAAACCAGCACCUCAAGUGGUCAGGAUGAUUAUUGGGCCUAAAGCAUCCGUAGCCGGCUCUGUAAGUUUUCGGUUAAAUCUAUGCGCUCAACGUAUGGGCUGCCGAAAAUACUGCAGAGAUAGGGAGUGGGAGAGGUAGACGGUACUCGGUAGGAAGGGGUAAAAUCCUUUGAUCUAUCGAUGACCACCUGUGGCGAAGGCGGUCUACCAGAACACGUUCGACGGUGAGGGAUGAAAGCUGGGGGAGCAAACCGGAUUAGAUACCCGGGUAGUCCCAGCUGUAAACGAUGCAGACUCGAUGAUGCAUUGGCAUAUAGCCAGUGCAGUGUCGCAGGGAAGCCGUUAAGUCUGCCGCCUGGGAAGUACGUACGCAAGUAUGAAACUUAAAGGAAUUGGCGGGGGAGCACCACAAGGGGUGAAGCCUGCGGUUCAAUUGGAGUCAACGCCGGG